CCAAUAGCGUAUAUUAAAGUUGUUGCAGUUAAAAAGCUCGUAGUUGAAUUUUGGAUUCGGCCAAUUGGUCCAUCUUUUAGAUGAGUACUGGUUGUGUUGGGUCUAUCCGCCUGGUGAUACGUAAUGUCCUUUAUUGGGUGUUGCGGGUAGUCAGGACCUUUACCUUGAAAAAAUUAGAGUGUUUAAAGCAGGCUUAUGCCGGAAUACAUUAGCAUGGAAUAAUAGAAUAGGACGAAGUUGUUUUAUUUUGUUGGUUUCUAGGACAACCGUAAUGAGUAAUAGGGAUAGUUGGGUGCCUUAGUAUUCACUUGUCAGAGGUGAAAUUCUUGGAUUUAUUGAAGACUAACUACUGCGAAAGCAUUUGCCAAGGAUGUUUUCAUUAAUCAAGAACGAAAGUUAGGGGAUCGAAGACGAUCAGAUACCGUCGUAGUCUUAACCAUAAACUAUGCCGACUAGGGAUCGGGCGAUGUUGUUUCCAUGACUCGCUCGGCACCUUAUG
rnacentral:rRNA from 1 species